UACGUAGGUGGCAAGCGUUGUCCGGAUUUAUUGGGCGUAAAGCGCGCGCAGGCGGUCUUUUAAGUCUGGUGUUUAAGCCCGGGGCUCAACCUCGGUUCGCAUCGGAAACUGGAAGACUUGAGUGCAGGAGAGGAAAGCGGAAUUCCACGUGUAGCGGUGAAAUGCGUAGAGAUGUGGAGGAACACCAGUGGCGAAGGCGGCUUUCUGGACUGUAACUGACGCUGAGGCGCGAAAGCGUGGGGAGCAAACAGG
rnacentral:rRNA from 1 species